AGGAUAAACGCUGGCGGCGUGCCUAACACAUGCAAGUCGAACGUCUCUUUCUUCGGGAAGAGGAGUGGCGGACGGGUGAGGAACACGUGGGAACCUGCCCUACAGUGAGGAAUACCGGCGAGAAAUCGCCGACAAGACCGCAUAGCCCUCUCUGGUGAGAGCCAGAGAAGGAAAGCUUCGCAAGAGGCGCUGGAGGAGGGGCCUGCGUCCGAUUAGCUAGUUGGUGGGGUAAGAGCCUACCAAGGCGUCGAUCGGUAGCUGGUCUGAGAGGACGAUCAGCCACACUGGGAUUGAGAACGGCCCAGACUCCUACGGGGGCAGCAGUGAGGAAUUUUCGUCAAUGGGGGCAACCCUGAACGAGCAACGCCGCGUGCAGGAAGAAGGUUUUCGGAUCGUAAACUGCUUUUCUCGGGGAAGAGAACGGACGGUACCCGAGGAAUCGAGCCCCGGCUAACUACGUGCCAGCAGCCGC
rnacentral:rRNA from 1 species